rnacentral:rRNA from 1 species
UACGUAGGGUGCAAGCGUUGUCCGGAAUUACUGGGCGUAAAGCGCACGUAGGCGGCUUUGUAAGUUAGAGGUGAAAGCCCGGGGCUCAACUCCGGAACUGCCUUUAAGACUGCAUCGCUUGAAUCCGGGAGAGGUGAGUGGAAUUCCGAGUGUAGAGGUGAAAUUCGUAGAUAUUCGGAAGAACACCAGUGGCGAAAGGCGGCUCACUGGACCGGCAUUGACGCUGAGGCGCGAAAGCUAGGGGUAGC